rnacentral:rRNA from 1 species
GGGUUGUGAGGUUAAGCGACUAAGCGUACACGGUGGAUGCCCUGGCAGUCAGAGGCGAUGAAGGACGUGCUAAUCUGCGAUAAGCGUCGGUAAGGUGAUAUGAACCGUUAUAACCGGCGAUUUCCGAAUGGGGAAACCCAGUGUGAUUCGUCACACUAUCAUUAACUGAAUCCAUAGGUUAAUGAGGCGAACCGGGGGAACUGAAACAUCUAAGUACCCCGAGGAAAAGAAAUCAACCGAGAUUCCCCCAGUAGCGGCGAGCGAACGGGGAGCAGCCCAGAGCCUGAAUCAGUGUGUGUGUUAGUGGAAGCGUCUGGAAAGGCGCGCGAUACAGGGUGACAGCCCCGUACACAAAAAUGCACAUGCUGUGAGCUCGAUGAGUAGGGCGGGACACGUGGUAUCCUGUCUGAAUAUGGGGGGACCAUCCUCCAAGGCUAAAUACUCCUGACUGACCGAUAGUGAACCAGUACCGUGAGGGAAAGGCGAAAAGAACCCCGGCGAGGGGAGUGAAAAAGAACCUGAAACCGUGUACGUACAAGCAGUGGGAGCACAGAGCAAUCUGUGUGACUGCGUACCUUUUGUAUAAUGGGUCAGCGACUUAUAUUCUGUAGCAAGGUUAACCGAAUAGGGGAGCCGAAGGGAAACCGAGUCUUAACUGGGCGUUAAGUUGCAGGGUAUAGACCCGAAACCCGGUGAUCUAGCCAUGGGCAGGUUGAAGGUUGGGUAACACUAACUGGAGGACCGAACCGACUAAUGUUGAAAAAUUAGCGGAUGACUUGUGGCUGGGGGUGAAAGGCCAAUCAAACCGGGAGAUAGCUGGUUCUCCCCGAAAGCUAUUUAGGUAGCGCCUCGUGAAUUCAUCUCCGGGGGUAGAGCACUGUUUCGGCAAGGGGGUCAUCCCGACUUACCAACCCGAUGCAAACUGCGAAUACCGGAGAAUGUUAUCACGGGAGACACACGGCGGGUGCUAACGUCCGUCGUGAAGAGGGAAACAACCCAGACCGCCAGCUAAGGUCCCAAAGUCAUGGUUAAGUGGGAAACGAUGUGGGAAGGCCCAGACAGCCAGGAUGUUGGCUUAGAAGCAGCCAUCAUUUAAAGAAAGCGUAAUAGCUCACUGGUCGAGUCGGCCUGCGCGGAAGAUGUAACGGGGCUAAACCAUGCACCGAAGCUGCGGCAGCGACGCUUAUGCGUUGUUGGGUAGGGGAGCGUUCUGUAAGCCUGUGAAGGUGUGCUGUGAGGCAUGCUGGAGGUAUCAGAAGUGCGAAUGCUGACAUAAGUAACGAUAAAGCGGGUGAAAAGCCCGCUCGCCGGAAGACCAAGGGUUCCUGUCCAACGUUAAUCGGGGCAGGGUGAGUCGACCCCUAAGGCGAGGCCGAAAGGCGUAGUCGAUGGGAAACAGGUUAAUAUUCCUGUACUUGGUGUUACUGCGAAGGGGGGACGGAGAAGGCUAUGUUGGCCGGGCGACGGUUGUCCCGGUUUAAGCGUGUAGGCUGGUUUUCCAGGCAAAUCCGGAAAAUCAAGGCUGAGGCGUGAUGACGAGGCACUACGGUGCUGAAGCAACAAAUGCCCUGCUUCCAGGAAAAGCCUCUAAGCAUCAGGUAACAUCAAAUCGUACCCCAAACCGACACAGGUGGUCAGGUAGAGAAUACCAAGGCGCUUGAGAGAACUCGGGUGAAGGAACUAGGCAAAAUGGUGCCGUAACUUCGGGAGAAGGCACGCUGAUAUGUAGGUGAAGUCCCUCGCGGAUGGAGCUGAAAUCAGUCGAAGAUACCAGCUGGCUGCAACUGUUUAUUAAAAACACAGCACUGUGCAAACACGAAAGUGGACGUAUACGGUGUGACGCCUGCCCGGUGCCGGAAGGUUAAUUGAUGGGGUCAGCGCAAGCGAAGCUCUUGAUCGAAGCCCCGGUAAACGGCGGCCGUAACUAUAACGGUCCUAAGGUAGCGAAAUUCCUUGUCGGGUAAGUUCCGACCUGCACGAAUGGCGUAAUGAUGGCCAGGCUGUCUCCACCCGAGACUCAGUGAAAUUGAACUCGCUGUGAAGAUGCAGUGUACCCGCGGCAAGACGGAAAGACCCCGUGAACCUUUACUAUAGCUUGACACUGAACAUUGAGCCUUGAUGUGUAGGAUAGGUGGGAGGCUUUGAAGUGUGGACGCCAGUCUGCAUGGAGCCGACCUUGAAAUACCACCCUUUAAUGUUUGAUGUUCUAACGUUGACCCGUAAUCCGGGUUGCGGACAGUGUCUGGUGGGUAGUUUGACUGGGGCGGUCUCCUCCUAAAGAGUAACGGAGGAGCACGAAGGUUGGCUAAUCCUGGUCGGACAUCAGGAGGUUAGUGCAAUGGCAUAAGCCAGCUUGACUGCGAGCGUGACGGCGCGAGCAGGUGCGAAAGCAGGUCAUAGUGAUCCGGUGGUUCUGAAUGGAAGGGCCAUCGCUCAACGGAUAAAAGGUACUCCGGGGAUAACAGGCUGAUACCGCCCAAGAGUUCAUAUCGACGGCGGUGUUUGGCACCUCGAUGUCGGCUCAUCACAUCCUGGGGCUGAAGUAGGUCCCAAGGGUAUGGCUGUUCGCCAUUUAAAGUGGUACGCGAGCUGGGUUUAGAACGUCGUGAGACAGUUCGGUCCCUAUCUGCCGUGGGCGCUGGAGAACUGAGGGGGGCUGCUCCUAGUACGAGAGGACCGGAGUGGACGCAUCACUGGUGUUCGGGUUGUCAUGCCAAUGGCACUGCCCGGUAGCUAAAUGCGGAAGAGAUAAGUGCUGAAAGCAUCUAAGCACGAAACUUGCCCCGAGAUGAGUUCUCCCUGAC